UACAGAGGGGGCAAGCGUUGUUCGGAAUUACUGGGCGUAAAGGGCGCGUAGGCGGCCACCUAAGUCAGACGUGAAAUCCCUCGGCUCAACCGGGGAACUGCGUCCGAUACUGGCGGGCUUGAAUUCGGGAGAGGGAUGUGGAAUUCCAGGUGUAGCGGUGAAAUGCGUAGAUAUCUGGAGGAACACCGGUGGCGAAGGCGGCAUCCUGGACCGACAUUGACGCUGAGGCGCGAAAGCCAGGGGAGCAAACGGG
rnacentral:rRNA from 1 species